rnacentral:rRNA from 1 species
AGAAUCAACGCUGGCGGCGUGCCUAACACAUGCAAGUCGAAUGAGAAAGUGGAGCAAUCCAUGAGUAAAGUGGCGCACGGGUGAGUAACACGUGACUACCUACCCUUGAGUGGGGGAUAACCUAGGGAAACCUGGGCUAAUACCGCAUAAUACCUACGGGUCAAAGAAGCAAUUCGCUUAAGGAGGGGUCGCGGCCGAUUAGUUAGUUGGCGGGGUAAUGGCCCACCAAGACGAUGAUCGGUAU